AUGCUACAAUAUCCUUAACUACCUGUACAAGCAAGAUGAUAAACUUAGUCCAAUUAGUCAUUUUCCAUAAAGAUCCAAGAACAGUCUUAAGACGACCAUGAGGGACAAGUUAACAUUUAUCUCCCCACAAUCAUAGAUAAGAAUGGAAGGAUGUCUAAUCAAAAUGCAUGGGAAAGGCUUUAGAUCCUGAGAAUCCAUACAACAUGAUCAAUUUGUCCACAGUCAUGAUAUCUUAUAUACUGUCCAUUUAACAGAGAUAAAGGUGAGAGUGAGAAAGUGAGACUAUUGGCCAAUUCUUAUAGGUUAGACUCUAUUGGCCAAUGAUUAAAAGAAAGUGAAAAUGGGAAACUCUUACAAUAAUAACCCACCUUGCAGAAAUGAAGGUGAGAUUGAGAAAAAAAAUUGUGAAGACCCGUAAGUAGAUGUGCAUAUCCAACGGGAUAGUACCCAUUAUGACUAGAAGAGGCUGAUACUCAUUUCACAGCUUGGAGUUUUUAUUUCAAAAAAAGCUCAGUAAUAAAGGAAUUUCAUUUGCUCGAAAUGGAAUUAGUCUUUAAAUGGGAUACUGCAGGAUAAAAAUUUCAACUUUCAAGUAUAGCAGUACAAAGACAAUGCAAAUUUGGGUGACAAUCAGUAGAGCCUAAUUCCAAAUGAGUGUUCGGUUGUCUUUAGCUCUUGGAGUGAGCAUGUCCAAGUCAUGCCUAUCAGAAUUUGAAUUUCUUCCUAAUUUUCUACCAGUUCCAGAUUUCCUAUCCUGCAUCAAAACUUUCAACUUAAAUGGAUAAGCAAACUUUAAUGUUAAUCUAUUCUCAGAACAAAACUGGAGAAAUUAAGUCAAUUGUAAUUCAGAAAUCUAUCAAGCUCUCAAGGGAAGAGCGGAACACCCUGGCAGUAGAGGUUUGGGAUUUCCUUCAGGAUGUAUCCGAUUUUGUAGGGAAGGGGUGUGGAAAGGGGGACUGCAAGCCCAUACUAUGUAACCAUCCAAAAUACCAGAAAGAAAAAUCUUGAGAUCUAUAAUUUAGGACUAGCCUUAAAAGCUUAAGCUUCAAGAAACUGGCCAACAAUUUGAAACAAACACGAGCUGAACGAUAUGCUUGCAAACUAACACACAUUCCAAGCAAGAAUAAGCUAAUGGUAACGAUAUGCUAGCAAACUACAACGAUAAAAAUUCAACUAUAACAACCAGAAUACAAGAAUCAGUGGAUAAAUGAAAGCGUCUGAUAAGCAUGUAAUGAAUACGCCCGACCUCAACCUGCCCUCUGCCUGAG
rnacentral:misc_RNA from 1 species